rnacentral:ncRNA from 1 species
CUGGUUCCGGUUCACGUUCACACCGUGUGGGCGACCCGGGGGCA